rnacentral:rRNA from 1 species
UACACGCUGUGACUAGCAUAUCAAUAAGCGGAGGAAAAGAAACUAACAAGGAUUCCCCUAGUAACGGCGAGUGAAGCGGGAAGAGCUCAAAUUUGAAAUCUUAAAGGGUUUCCCUUUACGAAUUGUAGUUUAAAGAAGUGUUUUCUGUUGAGGUUUUGGUAAAAGUUCUUUGGAAUAGGACAUCAUAGAGGGUGAGAAUCCCAUAUUUGACCUUUACUUUCAACUUUGUGAUACACUUUCAAAGAGUCGGAUUGUUUGGGAAUGCAGUCCAAAAUGGGUGGUAAAUUUCAUCUAAAGCUAAAUAUUGGCGAGAGACCGAUAGCGAACAAGUACCGUGAGGGAAAGAUGAAAAGAACUUUGAAAAGAGAGUUAAACAGUACGUGAAAUUGUCAAAAGGGAAGCGUUUGACACCAGUGUUGUUUUUCUGAAAAUCAAUUAAAGAACUGUUUAUGCUAAGUUGUUUAGACUUUAUCAGCUAACUGUUUAGUUUUGAGCUUUUCUUUAAUGCACUUUUCAGUUAACAAGUCAACAUCAAUUUCUUUUGCUGUAAAAAAGCUUGAGGAAGGUGGCUUGAGAUUCGUCUUAAGUGUUUAUAGCCUCUUGCCUAUGCAGUCGGAGAGAUUGAGGUCUGCAGCGUAGAUCCUUCGGGGCUAAAUGCAUUUGUGCUAAGUUAUAGCAUUUUAUAGACAACUUGUUGACUAUGAUUUGUCUUGUAGCUUACUCGCUUAUGUUAUUUUACCUACGCUUAGGAUGUUGAAGAUGUAGCACAUCAU